GUAGCUCAGUGGUAGAGUGCUUGCCUUGCAUGCAUGAGGCUCUGGGUUCAAUUUCUCAGC
rnacentral:tRNA from 1 species